UGGUGGAGUGAUUUGUCUGGUUAAUUCCGUUAACGAACGAGACCUCCGCCUGCUAAAUAGUUUGCGUUACAUUUUUUGUUAGCUGUAAACUUCUUAGAGGGACUUUUGGUCGAUUAGCCAAAGGAAAGUUGGAGGCAAUAACA
rnacentral:rRNA from 1 species